rnacentral:tRNA from 1 species
GUUUCCGUAGUGUAGCGGUUAUCACGUUCGCCUAACACGCGAAAGGUCCCCGGUUCGAGCCCGGGCGGAAACA